GCAGGGGUAGCAAAGCGGUCAACUGCGCCAGACUCAAGAUCUGGUGGCUUAGUGCCUUCGGGGGUUCGAAUCCUCCCCCCUGCA
rnacentral:tRNA from 1 species